CUUUUGCCGGCCGCCGGCUCCGAAGCAAGCCCGGAGCUGAGGGGUCGCACCCCGCUGGGGUGGCACCUGCUCUCGGCGGGGGGCAUCGAGGCGAGAAGCGGCCCCAGUUAGGGGUGGCGGUUCUGCUCCCGGCGGGUGACCGGCUGCCCGUGGCCGUUAGGACCGGCACGGCCUCUGCACAUCAGUUCCAAACCCAGGGGUUUGUGGUUUUGUCUGCGCUGAGAUGCUCUCGUGAACGCGCCCGUCUCACAGAACAAGCCAGGCCGUAUCGUAUCUCUGCCUUGCCCUAUCACUACUCUUUUGGCAAACUUGGUGCUAACUGCAAACGAGGGUGAUGACUUGCACAUUUCCUUCAAGAUUAUUCUUGUUACCAGUGCCAGUGGAAUGUCUCUAGAGAAAGCUUUGACCAACAACUGCUUUUCAAGUGGUUUUAUGCCUGUCAGUUAAACAGGUUUUAGGCCGUUUAAUUUGGAUUAUUUCUUUUUCGUAAAUCGUGUUAGACUGAAGCAAAGAGUUUAUCAUUGUCCAUGUGUUUUUUAUCAGUGCUGUUACCUCUAUCACAAUUCUGACUUUGUCUGAGAACAAAACCAGAUUUAUUUGAUAA